GAUGGUAUAGCUCAAGUGGCAGAGCUCUUGCUUAUCAUGCAUGAGAUCCUGGGCUCAAUCCCCAGGACCUCCU
rnacentral:tRNA from 1 species